rnacentral:rRNA from 1 species
GAUGAACGCUGGCGGUAUGCUUAACACAUGAAAGUCGAACGGAGACUGCCCGGCCUGCGUGGGGGACGGGGGGGUGACGCGGGGGAAUAUAGCUUCGGGUUGGGGACCCCCACGCGGGAGGGGGGCUAGUACACAAGGUGCCGAUAAGGUAAAAGAUUAUUCGCUGGGGGAUGGGGGCGCGGCUUAUCAGCUUGUUGGUGGGGUGGUGGCUCACCAAGGCGGGGGCGGGUAGGGGGCCUGAGAGGGUGGACGGCCACAUUGGGACUGAGACACGGCCCAGACUCCUACGGGAGGCAGCAGUGGGGAAUAUUGCACAAUGGGCGGAAGCCUGAUGCAGCGACGCCGCGUGGGGGAUGACGGCCUUCGGGUUGUAAACUCCUUUCACCAUCGACGAAGGUUUUCUGACGGUAGAUGGAGAAGAAGCACCGGCUAACUACGUG